AACGAACGCUGGCGGCAUGCCUAACACAUGCAAGUCGAACGAGACCUUCGGGUCUAGUGGCGCACGGGUGCGUAACGCGUGGGAAUCUGCCCUUAGGUUCGGGAUAACAGUUGGAAACGACUGCUAAUACCGGAUGACGUCUUCGGACCAAAGAUUUAUCGCCCAGGGAUGAGCCCGCGUCGGAUUAGCUAGUUGGUAGGGUAAAAGCCUACCAAGGCGACGAUCCGUAGCUGGUCUGAGAGGAUGAUCAGCCACACUGGGACUGGGACACGGCCCAGACUCCUACGGGAGGCAGCAGUGGGGAAUAUUGGACAAUGGGCGAAAGCCUGAUCCAGCAAUGCCGCGUGAGUGAUGAAGGCCUUAGGGUUGUAAAGCUCUUUUACCCGGGAUGAUAAUGACAGUACCGGGAGAAUAAGCCCCGGCUAACUCCGUGCCAGCCGCCGCGGUAA
rnacentral:rRNA from 1 species